ACAGGGAAUGUUGAAUUUUCUACUGACACUUCACAAUUUAUAAGAAUUCACAAAGUCAUCGUUAAUACAAAGAGAUGGUUUGAUGGUCACCUGCACCAUCAGUGACAUAAAUAACAGAGACAUCAAGCGGGAGAUCCAUUCUGAAAAAGGAGAUGAAAAGAAACCAAGUGUUACCAUUUACAAACCCGAUAGUAAAGUCACAGAUCAUGUCUCUCUGGUGUGUGAGGUCACCAGUCUUAAACUCGGCGAUGUCUAUAUCAUGUGGAGAGUGGGUGAAGAGCCUUACAGAGAGGGCACAAACAGUGCUCCCAUCCAUCAAAAGGACUCCACGUCUGUUCUCAGCAUCCUAAAAGUUUCAGAACAAGAGUAUGAAAACACCAUCAGCUGCGCAGUCAAAUAUGCCAACAUGGACAAAAGAAGUGUUCCAUUAGAAGUUUCAACAAGCCGAAGUGAGCCACCUGAGCCAGAGACAGGCUUUGCUCUGGACUGCAAUAAAGAUGUUCUGGAGGAGGAUGAGUUCAGAAGUCUCUGGUCCACUGCCACCUCAUUCAUCUUCCUCUUCCUCUUUUCUCUGACCUACAGCGCUGUGCUCAGCUUCUUCAAGGUGAAGCAGUGAUGAUUUGUUAAAAGAACUUGUGAAGACUCCAAGGUUUUUUAUUUGUUUUGUGACUGUAAUUAAAUGUUAGUCUAAUGUAUUUAGAAAUCAAAAAAAGGAAAAUAACCACGCCAUCUCUAUCUCUCUUUUGCUCUGUCUGUUCCUGUCUUUCUGUAAGCUUGUCUGAAAAACAUAUGGGCUUUCUGAGAUGUUGAAACUACAUAAUUUGCCUCUGUGCACACAUUCUUG